CCCCACUCAAGAUCACCCCUGGAGAGUUUCUAGAACUCUACCGGCUUUGGCUAUGGGAGGGACAGUCAAGCAGAGGCCUAGCCAUUCCAUUCCUAGCUUGGACAGUGGCUAGGGAGCGGAAGGCCAUCUGCAACGUGU